AAACCCUCAAGCCUCAUGGGUGUUGUCCCGCCUCGUGCGUGGCCUUCGCCUGGCUUGGUGUUGGGUGCCUGUCCCUGCUCCCCGCGCGGACUCACCCUAAAUGUAUUGGCAGCAGCCCCUCGGCUUCUCGCGCAGCACAUUGCGCAGCGGAGCGUGGAGAGGCGUGCGUCCAGCAAGCAACCCCCCAA
rnacentral:misc_RNA from 1 species